AGAAUCAACGCUGGCGGCGUGCCUAACACAUGCAAGUCGAACGAGAAAGGGACUUCGGUCCUGAGUAUAGUGGCGCACGGGUGAGUAACACGUGAAUGAUCUACCUUCGAGUGGGGAAUAACUGAGAGAAAUCUUAGCUAAUACCGCAUAAUACCUACGGGUCAAAGCAGCAAUGCGCUUGAAGAGGAGUUCGCGGCAGAUUAGCUAGUUGGCGGGGUAAUGGCCCACCAAGGCGAUGAUCUGUAUCCGGCCUGAGAGGGCGCACGGACACACUGGAACUGAAACACGGUCCAGACUCCUACGGGAGGCAGCAGUGGGGAAUUUUGCGCAAUGGGGGAAACCCUGACGCAGCAACGCCGCGUGGAGGAUGAAGUAUCUUGGUACGUAAACUCCUUUCGAUGGGGAAGAUAAUGACGGUACCAUAGAAGAAGCCCGGCUAACUUCGCGCCAGCAGCCGC
rnacentral:rRNA from 1 species